GACGAACGCUGGCGGCGUGCUUAACACAUGCAAGUCGAGCGGAGCGGCGAACGGGUGAGUAACGCGUGAGUAACUGCCCCCCUCUCUGGGAUAACAGUUGGACACGGCUGCUAAUACCGGAUAGUGGGGGAUGACUCGCGUCCUAUCAGAUUGUUGGUGUGGUAGUGGCCUACCAAGGCGACGACGGGUAGCCGGCCUGAGAGGGCGACCGGGCACAUUGGGCUGAGACACAGCCCAAACUGCGGCGGGGGGCAGGAGUGGGGGAUAUUGCGCAAUGGGGGAAACCCGGAUGCAGGAACGCCGCGGGCGGGAUGACGGCCUUCGGGUUGUAAACCGCUUUCAGCCAUGACGCGGUAGUGGCAGAAGAAGCACCGGCUAACUACGUGCCAGCAGCCGCGGUAAUAC
rnacentral:rRNA from 1 species